UAUGUAGGGGGCAAGCGUUGUCCGGAUUUAUUGGGCGUAAAGAGCGUGUAGGCGGCCAGGUAGGUCGGUUGUGAAAACUGGAGGCUCAACCUUCAGACGUCGACCGAAACCAUCUGGCUAGAGUCCGGGAGAGGAGAGUGGAAUUCCUGGUGUAGCGGUGAAAUGCGCAGAUAUCAGGAAGAACACCCGUGGCGAAGGCGGCUCUCUGGGACGGUACUGACGCUGAGACGCGAAAGCGUGGGGAGCGAACAGG
rnacentral:rRNA from 1 species